rnacentral:rRNA from 1 species
AUAUCGCGAGGUGCCAGCCGCCGCGGUAAUACGUAGGUGGCGAGCGUUGUCCGGAAUUACUGGGUGUAAAGGGCGUGUAGGCGGGAUUGCAAGUCAGAUGUGAAAUUCUUGAGCUUAACUCAAGAGCUGCAUCUGAAACUGUGAUUCUUGAGUACUGGAGAGGAUAGUGGAAUUCCUAGUGUAGCAGUGAAAUGCGUAGAUAUUAGGAGGAACACCAGUGGCGAAGGCGACUAUCUGGACAGUAACUGACGCUGAGGCGCGAAAGCGUGGGGAGCAAACAGGAUUAGAUACCCCAGUAGUCCUAGCCGUAAACGAUGGAUACUAGGCGCUGUGCGUAUCGACCCGUGCAGUGCUGUAGCUAACGCGUUAAGUAUCCCGCCUGGGGAGUACGUUCGCAAGAAUGAAACUCAAAGGAAUU